AAAAGUAAGUUACUAGCAUACGUCUAGCUUGUUGAAAAUGUGUUUUUUUACAACCUUCAUUUAUUAAUGUGUUUUGUUCUUACAUAGCUCAUGUUACAUCUUCAUACAUUGAAUUACCAGUUUGCAGUAAUGCACUUCAAGCAUAAUACUUAUAGGUCUACAAUACAAUAUACACCUUGUACACACAUAGGCCUACAUAACAUACUUAUGUCAGAUUUGGACAGGUCUAGAAAUACAGUGCUAUAUAACGUAAAUACAAUGUCUGGAAGAAGUGUAGGCCUAUCUGUGUUUGUGCAUGUGUAUAUAUAUGACACA